rnacentral:pre_miRNA from 1 species
GGGGAGAGUGCUGGAUCUAGGGCUGUGUCCCACACCGCCCUGGGCUCCGGGGUCUGUGCUGCUGGGAUUGCCCUCCUGGGGCCGUGCAGCCCCCU